rfam:Ixodes scapularis strain Wikel colony gcontig_1108378697526, whole genome shotgun sequence.
GCCUCGGUGGCUCCGAGGCCAGAGCGCCGGCCUACGGAUCCCCAGGUGGCGGGUUCGAAUCCCGACCGAGGUG